GUCUGGAUAGGCAAAAGCUUUGAAUCCUGCAAGCUGUUAAACAUCUUAAAAUUCAAGUUAAUUUAUAGUAUCACUCAGGAUGACUUUUUAUAAAGCAUU